GACGAACGCUGGCGGCGUGCUUAACACAUGCAAGUCGAACGGUAAGGCCCUUCGGGUACGACGAGUGGCGAACGGGUGAGUAACACGUGGGUGAUCUGCCCUGCACUUCGGGAUAAGCUUGGGAAACUGGGUCUAAUACCGGAUAGGACCACGGUCUGCAUGGAUUGUGGUGGAAAGCUUUUGCGGUGUGGGAUGGGCCCGCGGCCUAUCAGCUUGUUGGUGGGGUGAUGGCCUACCAAGGCGACGACGGGUAGCCGGCCUGAGAGGGUGUCCGGCCACACUGGGACUGAGAUACGGCCCAGACUCCUACGGGAGGCAGCAGUAGGGAAUAUUGGGCAAUGGUCGCAAGACUGACCCAGCCAUGCCGCGUGCAGGAAGAAGGCGCUCAGCGUUGUAAACUGCUUUUAUUCAAGGAAGAAAAAGUUACUUGCGAGAACAAUUGACGGUAC
rnacentral:rRNA from 1 species